GGGCCCGCACAAGCGGUGGAGCAUGUGGUUUAAUUCGAUGAUACGCGAGGAACCUUACCAGGGCUUAAAUGUAGUAUGACCGGCUUGGAAACAGGCCUUCUCUUCGGAGCAGAUUACAAGGUGCUGCAUGGUUGUCGUCAGCUCGUGCCGUGAGGUGUUAGGUUAAGUCCUGCAACGAGCGCAACCCCUAUUCUUAGUUGCCAGCGGUUCGGCCGGGGACUCUAAGAAGACUGCCAGCGCAAGCUGAGAGGAAGGUGGGGAUGACGUCAAAUCAUCACGGCCCUUACGUCCUGGGCUACACACGUGCUACAAUGGUAGAGACAGAGGGCAGCCACCUGGUGACAGGGAGCGAAUCCGACAAACCUAGUCGUAGUCCGGAUCGGAGUCUGCAACUCGACUCCGUG
rnacentral:rRNA from 1 species